GAUGAACGCUGGCGGCGUGCCUAAUACAUGCAAGUCGAGCGAACGGACGAGGAGCUUGCUCCUCUGACGUUAGCGGCGGACGGGUGAGUAACACGUGGAUAACCUACCUAUAAGACUGGGAUAACUUCGGGAAACCGGAGCUAAUACCGGAUAAUAUAUUGAACCGCAUGGUUCAAUAGUGAAAGACGGUUUUGCUGUCACUUAUAGAUGGAUCCGCGCCGCAUUAGCUAGUUGGUAAGGUAACGGCUUACCAAGGCAACGAUGCGUAGCCGACCUGAGAGGGUAAUCGGCCACACUGGAACUGAGACACGGUCCAGACUCCUACGGGAGGCAGCAGUAGGGAAUCUUCCGCAAUGGGCGAAAGCUUGACGGAGCAACGCCGCGUGAGUGAUGAAGGUCUUCGGAUCGUAAAACUCUGUUAUUAGGGAAGAACAAAUGUGUAAGUAACUAUGCACGUCUUGACGGUACCUAAUCAGAAAGCCACGGCUAACUACGUG
rnacentral:rRNA from 1 species